AGUGGGAUAACUGGGUCAAAUGGUGGUUCCAUUCCAAGUUUUCUGAGGAAUCUCCAUACUGCUUUCCAGAAUGUUUGCACCAGUUUGCAGUACCACCAGCAAU
rnacentral:pre_miRNA from 1 species